CUGGUGGAAUGUAAGUCUGCCAUAAUAAAUGGCUUUCUUACCAUACAUGGAGAAAAGCUACCUGGGAGUUAAGUCAAUUACGAUGAAAGCAGAUCUGAGAUGGAGAGAAACAAGUUAAUAUUGUUCCCAUCUGAGCUUCUGGAUCCAGCCCUACCUGAAAUUCUAGUAAUGCCCAACUGACAUAUGAUGUAGAUCAGUUUUCAUAUGAUAAAAGUCAAGGUUAGAGAAAUGCAGUGUUUUUAUUUUUUGAAGACUGAAAAUUGAUUAUGAAGAUGAAAAAUCUACUGGGUCCUUUAGGAGCAUGAGAGGAAGCUCACCCAGCCCUGAGUCCCUUCUGAUAGUUUGAAGAAAGAUAAAGUUAACUUCCUAUUUGUUCCUCAUCACAGCAUCUUGCACUGGUUUCCAGAAACAACUAUAAUUUUUUUUUUCACGGAAGGACUUUGAGAAAAGUUCCAAACAAAUAAAACAUAAAGGAGAAUUUGCAAGAACCAAAAAAUGUACAAAAACAAAUAACACACAAGUCCAGGGAAAGUUACCUAUCAGAGAUGCACUAGAGAUACAAAACCAACCUUCUCAGAUAAAUGAUGAGGUCGCAAGCCACUAAAAUUCCAGGGUUAUUUGUGAUGUCAUAUUACCACAGAAAAGGUUGACUGAUACAUAAAUGCAAAGAAAGGAGAGAAACAAAGAAAGAGGAUCUUGCAUAAGUGGCUAAGAAGAGAUCUUGAGGAAGAAAGCCAGACAGGAGAGAUGUCAGAAACCCUGGGAACAGAGCAUUUCAAGAAGGAAUUGAUAUCGACCCUGAUAUCAGUUUCCCCACAUUAAACCCAGCAUAUAUAUAUGGGGUUAAAACUAAAACACUCAUUCCCUGCUCACUCUCUGGCUUCCUGGCUCCAGAAUCCACUAUCCUCCAUGGAGACAGACACCGUCAAGGACAAGCACUUGGACUAUCUCCUCCCGCAAAGAGAUACGGGCUGGUGGGAAAGCUGCUGACCAGCAAGCUCACGAGCUCCCUCCUCUCUGCAAGUGUCUCAAGGCCAAAGACAGGCUGGUGGGAAAGCUCUGACCAGCAAGGCCAUAUGCUCCCCCUCCUCUACCUAAAACCCCCAAUAAAAACCCUUCCUUUUGGCUUUUCGGGGAGUUUGGGAUUUCAGCGUUAGCUGCCUUGUCUCCUUGCUAGCGCUGUGCAAAAAUAAAAUUCCUACUUUCUUCCACCACACCCAGUGUCAGAGACUGGCUUGCUGCGCAACGGGUGAGUGAACUCACUUCAGGUUCAGUAACAGAAUUUGUUGGCUCUUUUAGAGGUUCUUUGCUUUUGACCACAGAGGAGUUCACCUUUAACUAAAGGAUGAAGAGACACCUACUGAGCCAGCCAGAUCAGCUCUAUUAAUUCUGAAGAUCAUCAGGACAGCCACAAAGGGAAAUAACAUCAAUUAUAUAAAACAAAAGAAGUUCAAACCAUAUGUAUCAACCUAGAAGAAUUUACGCAUUAUAUUGGGAAUAAAGAAAAGCUAGUUGCAGAGAAACACGUAGUGUUAUGUUGUGAUUUUUCUUUUUUCUGAGUGAAAAACCAACACAUUAAAAUCACCCCUCGUGUGUUUAUACAGUUUUGUGCAUGCCUGCAUGGGUCGUGGAGAAAGACACAGAAGGACACACAUCAGGCUGUUAACGUUGUUGGCCUUAGUUGGGUGAGGCAGGAAAGGAAGGCAAGAAGGAUUGUAGGAGAAAGAAACUGGUGAAAAUGUAGUAAGGAG
ensembl:lncRNA